UGUUCUCAAACACAAGAGGUCUGCCUGC
rnacentral:piRNA from 1 species